rnacentral:lncRNA from 1 species
AUUCACCUCAGCUGGGAGGGGCCUCUCAGAGCCCUGGGGAAAGCAGGGAACAGGCGACUGCUGCAUUACAGAGAAGAAACAUGGUGAAGACCCAUCUGCCUCCUCCCUCUGCAUUCUCAGGAGAGGAGCUCCGACUUACUUGGCACCUGCAGCAGGUGGCGUCCUAAGGGCCAGGGGCAUCCUGAGCUCAGGUAGCAAGUUCAGGGUGAGUGGAGGCAAAGAAAGAAAAGGAGGGGCUGAAAUUAUUGCCAUGCUGAGCUUAUGCAUUGUCUUCUUACACAGGAAAGAAAUACUAGACUCCAGAAAUCUUUUCCUCCCCUCCUCCCAAAGACACACACACACACACACACACCCACUUACAGAUACACAGUCGCGCACACACCCACACACACACAAACUCCUUUAAAUCCCUAGACCCUUUCCCUCAAUUUCCUUAUGAAAAGCUUCACUCAAAAUGUUAGUCCCCAGCCACCACAAAACAUGAGGGUUAAACCUGAAGUUCUCACAAGUCAUGCAUGACCUUAUGCAACACACCCAAGAGCACUUGGUGAAGAAUUUCACAUAUGCUGCAAAAGGGGAGAGAGGGGAACCUACAUUCAUCAAAUCACAGGCAUGCUUCUUGCAAGUUCUUAAUAGCGAAUCAAGGGCUAAAAGCCUAGAAAUGUGGACUUACCUCAGAAAUAGAAAAUAUUUGUUUUAGUUUGUACAUCUUGUAUUUUUAAGCCAACGACACCUCAUUUCCUCUGCAGAAUCUUUUUCUUUAGUGAAAUAUCUUUGUGGGUUUUUUUUCUUUUUCAUUUUAUAGGAACUUUCUGUCUGAUUCUACCUUCUCCCCUGAUCUUGGUUUAUUGUUAAAAAUAAAUGCCUUCCUUUAAAGUAACCUCCCACCUUUUGUGCUGUGCUAGGAGAAAAAAAGAGGAAAGUUAGCUAUAAAGAAAACAAUGACUCUGGUGCCAGGAGGUGGGAAUGAUUUAAAAUGCCUCCAUCCAAUUGAGCAGAAAACCUGUGGCCCUUUGAAGCUGAACUCUGGAAGUCUCACUGCACAUAAUUGGAAUCAGUGUGAAUAUCACAUGCAGCAAAAUGAGAAAAUGUCACUGACUUGUCCUUCUUUGGUGAAGAAAUGCUUACCUUUCUGUUCGAAGGGCUCAGAAGGACCCACUCAGAUGAGAGCAAUUUCUUCCCCAUCCUUUUACUGUGAGUCCCUGUGCCCCUCUUGAAAGGGGGCCUCACAUCAGAAAAAGCUAUGGGACAGAAUUGCCCCUCCAUUUUCUUCUUAAAUGGCCAUUCAUGACACACAAGAGGAUGCCUCCUGCAUUCAGGAGAGCGCUGCACAUGCCGAACCACACAUACCCAAGUGAGAUCGAGGGGAGGGAUGGAGGGACGGCCAGGAAGUUGGGUGGUUUGGGCCAGGAUGGAGCCCUUCUGUACCGGGAGUUCCGCUGUAGCCCAGUGAGUGAAGGAUCUGGUGUUGCUGCAGCUACCACCAGGGGCUGGAAAUAGAAGAGGAGGAGCAGAGAUACUUCCACGUUAAGAUGGUGCCUCUGGUGGUUUUGCCUGGUUCUCCCAUGGAGAUGCACAGAGCUGGGGAGUGACUGUAGAACCUACAGCUUCAGGACCACAGUGAGCGGGGAGGGGGACAGCAUCCCUGACCCACUGACUCACCUGCCCACCACCGCUGGGUGAUUAACACACAACAUUUCCUGAGAUGUGCUUUCCAACAGCAACAGGGCUUGGUCCUCAGGAGGGGCAAGCGACCAGGGUGCCACUGAGUGCAGGUGCAGGGCCUUGUUGAGGGGUGAUUUACGGUCAUAGCUGAGAGGGACACUUGGAGCAUCACAGGACAGAUGGGGUAAUGGGACAGAAAUGGGAGAGUGGACUCAUCACCAAAGGCCUUGGACAAGACAAGUUUACCGGAACCAUUGAGGUGAGCGGGGAUGAGUGAGUCCCCGCAGUCCUGCCAUGACCCCGGAGCCACACCCCAGUGGCUGCAGGACCCGGUGGGCUCAACUCUCACUGGUCUUUUGUCACUCAGGCCUGUGUUUGCAUGCAGUAUUUUGCACUUCUUUUUCCGUGACUUUCUGCAGUGGGCUGGGCCUUUCUUGGCCCCUUCCCCACUAUUUCCUCUCAGCUUGAGCCAGGUCUGGGAGGAAAGAGGUCCCCAGAUCCCACCUUGGUGUCCACGUGGUCCUCACGCUCACGCAGGUAACUCCCUGAACUCUACAGCUGGCAGUGAUGGGAGUGAAGGGACAGUCCUUGCUAUCAAGCCUGACUUCCUGCACCCUGGCCAAAGAACCGGGGUCCUGCCUUUAGAAGCUCUCCCUGGGCCUCACGGGGCCAUGUUCAGCUCUGGUCCUGCCAUUUUGCUGAACUCGGCAUUUAGUGAGCAUCUCCCAGAGCCCAGUCCCAUGUCACCUGAUGCUUACUGAAGGCUAGUUAGAUGCCAAGCCUGCUGAGUAUUUUAACACAUCACCUCAUUUUUCAUAACAAACUCCUAUGUAGGUAUAACUAUUAAUGCUAUUUUACUAAGGCCUGCCUUUUAGGAGCUCAUGAAUGAGGAGGAGGCAUCUAGCUACAAUAUAGUAUGAAUAUCUCAUGUAGUCAAGAGUGUCUUCAGGAGUUCCCUGGUGGCCUAGCAGUUAAGGAUCUGAUGUUGUCCCUGCUAUAGCCCGGGUCACUGUUGUGGUGACGGUUCGAUCCCAUGCCCAGGAAUUUGCACAUGCCAUGGGUACAACCACAAAAAAAGGGGGGGAAAGCAUCUCUAUACCACCUAGCUGACAGGUUCUUCUGGGUCCUGGAGGAUAAUGUACACAAGACAGGCAAGGUCCCUGCUCCCCUGUGGCAGAUGCAGGCCAGCUGGAGACAGAUAAGCAGGGACAGUGGAGAUGGCCAUGGUAGUGCCUGCUCCUUGGUGGCAGGACAUCACAGGGGCUUUCCCACAAGCCUGGGGGCAGAGGGAACCUUCUGGAGAAGGUAAGUAUUCCUGUUUUCUACCAACAUUUAGCAGCUUAAGACAAUAUCUCAGCAUCCAGCACCACUCUAGAUUAGCUGGGCGGAUCUCUUGGGGGGAUCUAUCAGAUGCUGGGCAGAGCUGGGCUGGGCUGGGGUCUCAGAGGCUGGAUGCUGAGAUGGCUCCCUGACUUACAACAGGUCUGAUGGGACAGGGGGUUGACUGGGCAUCUCCACUCCCUGGGAGGUCUCCCCAUCUCUUGGCCAACAGGGCAAGGUAGGCUCAGGCCCCGAACAGCUUCUGCAGUGUCUGACUGCCUCCAGAAGCCAUAUUCCAAGAGUUCAUUGCAGAAAGCACAGGGCUUCCUUCUUCUGGCUUUGGGAGCUCCUACAGAUGUUUAUCUCACACUCUAUUGGUUAUAAGUGAAUGCCGGGUCAGCCUGAAUUUAAGAGGAGAAGCCCUAUGUUCAAAAGGCAUGAAUACAGGAGGUUAGCUCACUGGUAGCCAUGGAGACAGGGUGCACAGGAGGGAGUGGGGCUGCAAUAACAGAGCACAGGGGCUUCUCAGGUAGGCAUAGGAAAAGUUGUUAUUGACUGAGUAUCAACUCAUUAGGCAACAGACACAUCACAUUGUGAUAUUUUAAUAUACUGCAUGCAUAGUUCAAACAUACACCUAACUAUAACCAUCCUACAAGGUGAAUAUUCUAACCUUGGUUUUAAAAGUGGGUGCUCAGAUCUAGAGCACAUACAUGACUGCUCACAGUUCCUUGCAGUGGCCACACUAGGGUUUCCAAUAAAGUAAGGUUGAAUUGAGCUAUCUUCAAGGUCACUUCUGCUUAGACGGUCAGCAGAGACUUCGUAGAGGAGGUGAUGCCUUAAGAGUGUUUGCUACGGGAACAGCCCUAAAAAGACAAAAUAAAAAUAAAAACUAAAUAUAGAAAUACCAUGUGAUCCAGCAAUCUCAAUCCUGGGCAUAUAUCUGGAUACAACUCUAAUUCAAAAAGAUAUGUAAAUAACAUAAAUGUCCAUCGACAGAUGAAUGGAUAAAGGAGAUAUGAUGCAUAUACACAAUGAGAUACUACUCAGCCAUAAAAAAGGAACAAAAUAAUGCCAUUUCCAGCAACAUGGAUGGACCUAGAGAUGAUCACACUAAGUGAAGUUAGUCAGACGGUGAAAGACACCACUUAUAUUUGGAAUCUUAUUUUUAAAAUGAUACAGAAGAUCUUAUUUCUAAAAUGGGAACAAACUCACAGAUUUCAAAACCAGUCUUAUGGUUACCACAGAUGAAACCAUGGAGAGGAGGAAAGAAUUGGGAGGGUGGGAAUAACAUAUUCACAUGACUGUAUAACACAGAUGACUAACGGGAACCUACUGUAUAGCACAGGAAAAUCUACUCAAUAGUUUGUAAUAACAUACAUGGAAAAAAAGAAUGGACAUAUGUAUAUGUAUGACCAAUUCACUUUGCUGAACACCUGAAACUAACACAACAUUGUACAUCAACUAUAUGCCAAUAAUUUUUAAUAAUUUAAAAAUAAAAAAUAAAAUGUACUGUAUAAACACAUAAAAAUAAAUGCAUAAACAGCGUUUAUGCUCCCUCCUUCCAGACGAUGCUGCCAAGCCCCACAUCAGACCCUCAGCAUCUUGCAGCAGCCUCUCCACUGCUUUCUCUCCCUCCAGGCUCAGCUCCUCUGGAUAAUCUCCAAACUAUAGCCCCCAAUGUUUUCCUAAAAGGCAGCCUCCAUCUUUCACUAUGAGAUUCAGUAGUCUAAUAUUGGAAGUUCAGACUCCAGAGCACACUUUGUGAUGUGUUUUUUGCAUCUCUCUUGUCCCACCACCCACUGUCCUUCCUACACACGUACCUGCUUGCCUGAGCCCUGCAAGUCCCCAUACCCCCAGCCCACCUCCAGUCUGUCCAUGCUAUUCUCUUAUUCUCUCUGCCUGCAGUAUCCCUACCUCUCUCAGCUUCUGGACAAGAGUCUGCCUGGGUGAGAGUCAAUCUGCACUGUGGAAAUCAACCUUGUUCCAGCUCCACUGCCCCCUCCCUAAUAUCACAGUACCUUCUACUGUCCAUUUGCCUUUCAGAGCCAUCCUGGGGAAUAAAGAAAGACACAUUCAAAGAGAAUUACUUUCCCUGCCUGUCUCUCCAUUCCUAACACCUUUCCCAAUCACACACCUGCCUUUGUAGAAGCAUGGCUAUGACGGACACAUACAUCCAUGGGUGCAAAAUAACCUUGAAUCAAUUUUAGUGGAUGUGGGCACAGGGACUGUGCAAAGAUUGGCAACAUCACAGGUUUGCUCAAGGCCAUACCUGGUGUUUUCCUACUUUCUAAAUCCCUCACGCCUCAGUCCCAAACUGAGCUUGCUUUGAAUGCCUGGCUGCUCUAUAUGAAAUAAAGGCUGCUCAGAGUCCCUUGGUGGCUCAGACAGUUAAAGAUCCAGCGUUGUCACUGCUGUGGCACAGGUUAGAUCCCUUGCCCAGGAACUUCUGCAUGCCAGAAGUACAGCCAAAAAAAUAACUAAAAUUUUAAAUAAAAUAAAAACAGCUAAAGCUUCUGUGCCCAGGGUAGAAUAUUCUGGUCAUCAGAAGUCUGUUGGUAAAGAGAACCCCGUUGACCUUUUAUCAGGGCCCAGGUUGCCUCAUUUCUUUCCAGUAUGUCCAAGAUUUAUUCUGUUUCAAAUACUCUCUGGGAACCAAAAUUUGGUAAAAGUAGAUUACAUUUAGAGAAAUAGUCUACCUGGCACAUAUUUUGAGUACCAUCUUAUUUAAGCCUCUCUCAUUUUGAAAUAUUUUCUCUGCCAUCAUUCAGGUGACAUCAAGGCUCAGAAGAAAAAAAAAAAAAAUGUGACUUGCUCAUGGUCACAUGACUGGUGACGCCCCCAGCCCAGGUGCCACAGACUCAGAUUCCAGCUCUAUGCACCAGCUCACUACCCAAAUACACAGAACAUUCCUAUCAACUUCCCAUGCCCUUUUAUACAUUAACUUUUCUUCUAGCUUCAGCAAAGACGCUAUUACCGGUUUCUAUUAUCUGCAGACACUCACUGCAGGCAAUUUCUUUAGGAAAACACCCUGUCUGUGUCAUGAUAAGGAAUGCGCACCAAAGGCUUGCUAUUUGCUUUUUCACCUCUCUUUGUCUUUUGACAGCGUAUCUUUUUCUAAACCCCACUUUAUUGCUGGUAUUAACACCCUCCUAUUUUUAGGAAAUGACUUCUUAGGGUUUCUCUGAUGCCCCAGAAACUGUUCCUCUCAAAGUCGCUUUCUAUGAUACAAUCUUUCCAGCAGAACUAAAUAAUUGUUUGAAUGAAUGGUCAGUAGUUUGAAGCCUUUAAUUGAGCAGCAAAAGACACAGUUAGGAUGUACUCCUCAAAACAGGAUCCAGAAAACAAGAAGCUGCAACAUUUGCAAAGGAAAAAAAAAAAAAAAAAAAAAAAAAAAAAAAAAAAAAAGCUCAAUAGUUCAUUUACAGGCAGCCACUGAGGAGGAAAGCUCAGUUUUACAGAGGUGUGACAAGAGGAAAGGUAUUCUAGGAAAACAUUCCAAAAAAAAAUUCUGAGGACCCAGAGAAGCUGGCUUUUCCAAUCCUCCAAAUGAAGAAAUAAAAGCAUGAAUUUCCAGAAUUGUUUUAACUCGGAAGUGAGGCCAAACAGUUUGUACUUAGCUAUUUUUAGCUAUUUUCCUUCAGUUUUAAUAACACACUGGAACACUGGAGAUGGGUUAUGAGGAUCCAAAGUACAAAAUCAUAAAAUAUUUUUAAAAGGCUGAACAUCAAUUGUGCCACUCACAGAUGCUUAGUAAAUGCUCAUUUGAGAGAGUGGGUGAGUGAGUGUUGCUAGCAAAUGUGGAUGAGAGUGGGAGGGAGCAGGAAGUGAGGCGGUCUGCCUGGGACAGGGUAACCCACAAAGCUGCAGGGCAAAUGCUGCGCCCAUGCUAUCUGCCGGCCAGUCUGCCUUCAACAUUGAAAGCCAAGGUGGAGGAAGAAACAGAACCCCCGGAUGCCAGCAACCCCAUGGCCACCCAGUGUGAGUCUUGAGCACGUCCCCCAUUUCUCCAUGUCUUCUCAAAUACCCGCUUCCCUCUGCCUCCCUCCCUCAUCCCCAGCCCCACCCGAAUGAAAGGCCUGGCCUGGAGGAGCUUGGUAAACAUCGACGGAGUAAGUAAUCCACUGUGUAUGAACAGACACUGUGCCUGGCCCACUCCCGCCCUUCACCUGCCUUCCCUCCCCCUCGCGGUGCUGCACAGAGUGCCCGCCCCUGUCUGCUCUGCCCAGCAGGGACCGGGAGACCCCAGGCUCUCACUUGGACUCGCACUUGAGCUUGGACUUCGCACUUCGGAGAAGUUCCUGGUGUCACCUGUGCUGCAGGUGUUCUGAGUGCGCUGACAUUUCCAGGGGGAGGGGGCAAAGGGGUCCUGAGCCACACACUAAAGUAACAAUGUGCUUCUCAGGAAUGCUGGAGGGAAAAGCUCUGGGAAGAGCCAACCUUUCAUUGGGGUCAAAAGAGUUCCUGAUUCCUUUGAGCAUGUUCUCUGUGACUGCAAAUAACUCUCUGGGAUCCAGGCUGAGUGGAAUUACAGGGACAUCUAAUACCCACUCACAUUAAUGCCUCCCUGUGCGGAGGACACUCUUCAUUUGGUGGGAUUUCACACCACUUUGUGGGGAAGUGCAAACCCUAUAGAGAGGUACCUCGGUCUAUGGAAGAGAUGAAAGUGUUCAUCUAAAUAUGAAACACCCCCCCCCCCAACCAAAUUCUCUGACUGCAAACUCUAAACUCAAACUCAGAGAUAAGAUCUUCUGGGAAAACUCCUGGUCUGAAGACCACAUUUAUGCAUACAAACAACUUCUUGAUAUGUACAUAUCCAAGAGGAAAAGCAUUUCCUAAUAAAUGAUUCACAGUAUUCAAAAGC